rnacentral:rRNA from 1 species
CAGUAGCCGCGGUAAAACGUAGGGUGCGAGCGUUAAUCGGAAUUACUGGGCGUAAAGCGUGCGCAGGCGGUUCGUUAAGACAGAUGUGAAAUCCCCGGGCUUAACCUGGGAACUGCAUUUGUGACUGGCGAGCUAGAGUAUGGCAGAGGGGGGUAGAAUUCCACGUGUAGCAGUGAAAUGCGUAGAGAUGUGGAGGAAUACCGAUGGCGAAGGCAGCCCCCUGGGCCAAUACUGACGCUCAUGCACGAAAGCGUGGGGAGCAAACAGGAUUAGAUACCCCAGUAGUCCCUGUCUCUUAUAA